AGGCCUCUUUUAACGAACAAACCAACCACUCGUUUCUUCGUUGAAAACGGCGCGACCUCUCGCGGUAGGAUCGGCUUUAAAAAUAUACAGGCUCGCGAUGCAUUGUGAAAAAUGUAGUUCCAGAGGCGGCCAGUUUGGUCUCGUAAAUGUACGAACUCCACGAACUGGUAGACCGUAGACGAUGCUUGGAAGGCAGCACAUCUCGGAAUAGCGCCUUAUUACUACUAUAUGGAACGACUAGCACAUGUGUGCGAGGGGAACCUUUACCUUUCUACUAUAUUAAUUGUUAUAGCCGUCUACUCCAGUUUACAAAAUCCAGCAAAAACAUUUAAAAAUACAACACGGGGAAAAAACCUCAUCAGGUCCUUGGCAAAUACAGUAACCUCUCUCUAGGGCAAACAGAGAUCCGGCUCAUGCAAUAUUACUGACUUGAGCCAUGCUAGCAAUGGAUGAAUUGGGCCAGUUGAUCUAGUUAUAGCUCUUUCCCGCUGCUCUCCACUCUUCACUGAAAUGUGUGUGUGUGGGGAACUAGAGGUAGUUCUUGACCAUGACCACAACUGAGCCCAAAAUUUUGUUGGGAGCAAUACAGUGGUGGGUUGCUACCGGUUCUAUUCUGUUCUUGCAAACCAGUAGUAAUGGUGGUGAGAGGCUCCACCCACCCACUCGGAUGUCAUCAUGGACGAUCUGUGCAUGUGCAGAAGCGCAUGCGCGCCUGUUGCAAACUGGUAGCGAAGGUAAGUAGAACUCACCCCUGGGGCAAUAGGCUGACUCUGUAAACUGUUUAGAAAGAGCCGUAAAGUAUUUUUUGCUCCAUAAGACACACUUCCCCUCUCCAAAAAGUGGGUGGAAAUGUCUGUGUGGCUGAGGGGGCAGCGGCGGGGUCCUUUUACAGUGCUGAACCCCGCCUUUUCUGUCUCUUUUCCGCAGUGCAGGAAUCAAUAGGCAGAGCUGGCACAUGAGAGGACACCUAUCUGUGGACCUGCUCUGCCUAACAGUUUUUUGUCUUGUUUUUCUCUUCUAAUGGAGUUAAAAAUAUGUUACAGACUUUUCUAUUCAACUGAAGAUACUUUUCUGAAAUCAAGCACUGGAGGAGAGGAGACACAAAGGGGUAAAAAUAAGGUACAGUGUUCUUACGGAUAAUGAAUGAAGACUUCUUGGAUCAAACAAGAGCUUUUCUCCUAAGGGAAGCUGCUGGCUUUCAACAUGCAAUUCUCUCAGUUCCUCUAAAGUCUCCAAGCCUUCCACUACAGUGAUAC